UAGGGAAUCUUCCGCAAUGGACGAAAGUCUGACGGAGCAACGCCGCGUGAGCGAAGAAGGCCUUCGGGUCGUAAAGCUCUGUUGUUAGGGAAGAACAAGUACGAGAGUAACUGCUCGUACCUUGACGGUACCUAACCAGAAAGCCACGGCUAACUACGUGCCAGCAGCCGCGGUAAUACGUAGGUGGCAAGCGUUGUCCGGAAUUAUUGGGCGUAAAGCGCGCGCAGGCGGUCCUUUAAGUCUGAUGUGAAAGCCCACGGCUCAACCGUGGAGGGUCAUUGGAAACUGGGGGACUUGAGUGCAGAAGAGGAGAGUGGAAUUCCACGUGUAGCGGUGAAAUGCGUAGAGAUGUGGAGGAACACCAGUGGCGAAGGCGACUCUCUGGUCUGUAACUGACGCUGAGGCGCGAAAACGUGGGGAGCAAACAGGAUUAGAUACCCUGGUAGUCCACGCCGUAAACGAUGAGUGCUAAGUGUUAGAGGGUUUCCGCCUUUAGUGCUGCAG
rnacentral:rRNA from 1 species